rnacentral:pre_miRNA from 1 species
UUCUAUGGAUGAACAAAGAAAGUAGUUUCUUGAGAUGGAAUCUACUCCUGAUGAAGAUGCGGUGAA